rnacentral:misc_RNA from 1 species
GACCGAGAAGCUAGCAAAAAUGUACCUGAACUUGAUGCCAGCCAUGUUACAGAGCUAAGAAUGUUGGGCCUUUAUUAAUUCGGAAUUCUCUGCGGUGUUAUAAUCUCAGUCUUGCAUUCCUUUGGAUGGAGUCUUUUUUGGAUAGUCUACAUGAAUUUGUGCAUCAUGGAGCAACUAAAUUUGGUUCUUAACAAUUUACAUGAGGUAUUGCCUUCAUGUGAUUGGUUUUAUGUUUGGACAUGACAUUUGGACACUGAGCAAAUCGAUGCUGGAAAGUUUGUCCUUGCCUUCACUUGUACAUGGAGAAUCAUGGGCAUCUUCCAAUUUCAAACUACAUAGCCGGAAGUGUUGUUUAUCUUUAGGAAUUCCUAUACCUGUAUUUCAGUCGUUGUGUAUUAAGAAACAGCACCAUAGAGAAAUACUUGUUUAACAUUUGUUUUCUUACGAGAAAAUUAUCCAUACCUUUUUGUUCGUGAG